rnacentral:rRNA from 1 species
CUGCUAUCGAGGUUCGAGUAAGCCAUGCUGAGUCAGAAUGUAGCAAUACACGGUGUAUUGCUCAGAGCACAGUGGACAACCUACCCUUGGGUCGAGUAUACACCCGGGAAAGUGAGUAUAAUACGGGAUAGAUCUCGACUGCGGUAAUGCAGCGAGUUUGAAAGCUCAGGCGCCCAAGGAUGGGUCUCCGCCCUAUCAGGUAGUAGUGGGUGUAGCGUACUUACUAGCCUACGAUGGGUACGGAUUGUGAGAGCAAGAGCCCGGAGAUGGAUUCUGAGACACGAAUCCAGGCCCUACGGGGUGCAGCAGGCGCGAAAACUUUGCAAUGCUGGAAACAGCGAUAAGGGGACCUGGAGUGCCAGGUUACAAAUCUGGCUGUGGUGAUGCGUAAAAAGCAUUGCAUAGCAAGGGUCGGGCAAGACCGGUGCCAGCCGCCGCGGUAACACCGGCGGCUAGAGUGGUAACCGUUAUUAUAGGGUGUAAAGGGUCUGUAGCCGGCCGGAUAAGUCUCUUGGGAAAUCUGGCAGCUUAACUGUCAGGCUUUCAGGGGAUACUGUGUGGCUCGAGGCCGGGAGAGGUGAGAGGUACUUCAGGGGUAGGGGUGAAAUCUUGUAAUCCUCGAAGGACCACCAGUGGUGAAGGCGUCUCUCCAGAACGGACCUGACGGCAAGGGAAGAAAGCUAGGGGCACGAACCGGAUUAGAUACCCGGGUAGUCAUAGCCGUAAACGAUUCUCGGUAGGUGUCGCCCACGGUGCGCCCGUGGUCGGUCCCGUAGGGUAUCCGUGAAGCGAGCCACCAGGAAGUACGGCCGCAAGGCUCAAACUCAACGGAAUUGGC